UGCCAAACACCUGCAGCCAGUGGUAAAGGCUUAAAACCGCCCCAACUUCCUUAUUGCCUUAAAAAUAAAAAGUAAUGAGAAAUGGAUUUCUAUGCUGAGUAAGCAGAACAAAAGCCACCUAGAACUUAGCUUUUAUAUAACGCCCAGAAUUUAAAAAACUCAAAAACCCCAUACUGACCAUCUUGUCCAAAUCGUCAUAUCUGGAGAAUCAAAACAGUUUCGGUAUAAAUCAUUAUGCUCUUGGCUGCCUAAAUUAGGUACAACUUAAUAUAAAGUUCAGUAAUCUUCCCAGUUGUAAAUUCUUCCUGUCCCCUGUAUUCCCCACAAAAACAUGCGUUAGAAAAGCGCUGGGAUUCCUUCUGGUCCCCUGCAAGCUGUUUCUGGUGCAACCACAGUUCGCGAGUAGAAAACCCCGGGCCCGGAGCAGUUCAACUGCCGCCCUGGCCACACCCUGGGCCACGGCUCCUUCCCGGCCUGGACCGAAGAUAAACAAAUCGCGCCUGUUCUCCAGACCUCACAUUAGCGCUGACUCACAGGGUGCCCAGAGCGGGCCUCAGUCGCCUCGCGAAGAAGGAAAAAUGUGCAGAUUUUUCCUCUCACGCGAGGGUCCGCCGUGUCUAGCUGGCCAAUCAUCGGAGGGCUGCGGGAAUCGCACCAAAUUGAGGAAGUAGAACCUGCCCGCGCCCCUCAAGACUGGAGCUGGCGAAGGGGUCCCGCCCCUCAGCCCCGGGCAGGUGAGCGACGCCCCCGCAGUCCGGACUCCAGGCUGCCCCCGGGGCGGGGCAUUGCCGGGCCGGCCCGUCGUGUAGCAACGCGGGCAGUGCGUGACGUGCGCAGGCGCAUUUUGACCCGAGGCGCGCGACCGCCCCUUAGUAGGCUCACGGUGCCGCGUCGGCUCUGCGCUCGCUUUCUCGUCCUGCUGGUGUGAGGAGGUUGUUCCGCACACUCGGUUCCCGCCGGCUCCCUCCCCUGAAUCCCUGCAACCGCCGCUGCGAAGAUGGCGCCCGGAGUGCAAGUUGCUGAUGAAGUAUGUCGCAUUUUUUAUGACAUGAAAGUUCUGGAAAUGCUCCACACCUGAGGAAAUUAAAAAAGAAAGAAGGCUGUCAUUUUUUGUCUCAGUGCAGACAAAAAGUGCAUCAUUGUUGAAGAAGGCAAAGAGAUCCUAGUUGGAGAUGUGGGUGUGACCAUCACUGAUCCCUUCAAGCAUUUUGUGGGGAUGCUUCCUGAAAAGGAUUGUCGCUAUGCCUUGUAUGAUGCAAGCUUCGAGACCAAGGAGUCCAGGAAAGAAGAGCUGAUGUUCUUUUUGUGGGCCCCAGAACUGGCCCCUCUGAAGAGUAAGAUGAUCACGCCAGCUCUAAGGAUGCGAUCAAAAGAAGUUCCAAGGUAUGUGCGGGACUUGGACCUUAGGGAUGUGGGGACCCCUGAAGCACCUCCAUUUUCCUGGGAGAGCAGCUUUGAGUAGAAAGAGAAAAGCCAUGCUUGUUCUGAGGGAGAUCCCAAGGCUGAGCCACUACUCAGGAAGUCCUCCACCUCAGCCACAGAGAUUGUGCAGCAGGGCGGCCUUAAAGCCCAGUCCCCUGGGCUGCCUGUCCCUCACCUGCUCUGACUGGUUCAGACCAGCGUCCCCUGUAGCAGGGAAAGCCUGGGGCCUCUGUGGCCAGGCUAGUGUCACUGUGCCGAUGCCUUUGAAUGUAGUAAUAGAACCAGGUUGCAAGAAGUAGGCAUUCAUGAACAGGAAGGAUGCGCUGCCUUCCAUCUUCACCAUGGAUGGUGCAGUUUUAGGUCAUUGAUUCAUCUGUGCUGAAAGGUCACGUGGCCCAAGCUGGCCAGUCACCGCCUUGCUGCCAGAGACUGUGGUCCCAACAGGAUGGUGGGGCUGGGCCUGGGCCCAGCCAGAAGGAAGCCUUGGUAUGGUCAGCCGAGCAUGAGGCAUUAGUUUAGAGGCCUGCUCUGCAGACCCAGCUUGUCUUAACUGCUGUGACCUUUGCCCUUGAGUGGGAGGCAUGGACUGAGUGUGUGCUUGCCAGCUGCCUUUGCAGCCAGGGUCAUGGGGAACAGGGCCAGUUGAGUCUCUGUGCCUCCAUUCUCACUUCUCCCAGCAUGGUUCCGUGCCUGCUCAGCUGUGUGGGGGGUGAUAAGAGGGCAUACCCAGAAUCAAGGUCACUUGUGUGUCCCCAACGUUUCAAAUCACCCCUGAGUGUCAGCACUUUGACAGUGGUACCAACUCACACCAGAUUCCUCAUUGUCUUCACCUUGCAGUGCCCUCACUCAAGGGGAUGGCUGAGUAGACUGGUGAUGUUGAGUGACAGUCACCUUGUCACCCGUUCUCUGAUGAAACCAUCCCGGCUUCCCCAUUAGUCCUGGGGUUGGGGGCACGCCCACUGUAUUCUCUGUGAGCUGGAGAAAUGGUCCUCAUGCGAGAGCCACCAGUGCCACACUGCAGUUCUGUGACGGCUCUUGUAUGUGUGGCGUUCCUGCACUGGAGAGCUGGCUGUGUCUGUGGCACAGCGAGUGCUCCUGGUGAUUAUUUACUUUAUGGUGCAGUUGACAAAACCAGCUGGCCCAUAACAAACCAGGAAAAGUUAUUACUAGAACCUGCCUUUUGAUUUUUUUUUUUUUAAAUUGAAGUAUAGCAUGUCUUUACAAAAAGCAUACCUCAUAAAUUAUGAGUGCUCCCUGAAUGUUUUGAGCCCGAGCAUCAUAGUGGCACCCCCUGGGGCCCUGCUCUUGCCACUGCUCCCCAGGAGCUUCUAACCAGCCAAGGGCGUGCGUGUGUAAAGAAUAGUUGCUUCUCCGGCUGGGGAUUUAGCUCAUUGGUGCCACUGCCUGCCUUGCAAGCACAAGGGCCUGAGUUUGAUCCCCUGUACCAAAACCAAAACAAAAAAAGAAUAGAUGCUUCUCUUUCUGACUUGCUGCAGCCAGCAUUGUGUUUGUGAGCAGCAUCUAGUUUGAUGCAUGGAGUUACCAAUUAAUAUUUCUCAUUUCUGUGUAGUAUUGCAAGGUUGUAAAUAACACUGUUUAUAGACAUGAGCUUUAAAAACAUAGUACUGUAAAGAAAUAGAUAAGCUGCUGCCAUAAUUUUAAAUAGAAUUGUUUUUCCUUUCAGGCAUCAAACACGAAUGUCAAGCAAAUGGGCGGAAGACCUCAAGCGAGCUUGUAUUGCCGAAAAGCUGGGUGGGUCCUUGAUUGUAGCCUUGAAGGGUGCCCGUGUAGUGUCGUUCCAGUGCCACAGCGAAAGCUUCUGUGUUUAAUGUUACCCUCUUGCUCCAUAAGUAAAGCAGAUGCAUUUAUGCCAGGGUCUCACUGAGGGAGCUGUCUUGUCAUCUUUGAGUAAAUAUUCUAUAAACCUGUGCAAACGGCGCGGCCCUAAAUAAACCUAGCAUCAAAGUGUAAUUGGUGUGAAAUGAAAUUCUUACUGGCCAAAUGCCUGUUUUGAUGAGUUGACUUACAAAGAUUUUUGUUAAAGCUCAGGAUUUUUAAUAAAGCUCAGGAUUUUUAAUAACAGUUCACAAAACAGUAUAGAUAUAGAGGCCAUAUGAAGAGAAUCAUUCUGUCUUUCAUUAACCUCAGCAGUUACUUUCUUUUGUUUGAAAAUUGAUUACAAUCUGGUUAUAAUUUUGGCCCAGAAUUAUUCUUCUUGACCCACACAGAAUGGGUUGUCCUCCCCUAACGUGUACCCACACUAACCCACUAGCAGCAGUGAGUCUCAGGCAGCCUUUAGUUCUCCCAGAAGUCGCAUCUACUGUGACUCACCCUGAUCUUGCAAAGCCUGCCUCGAGUGGCACAGCUGUCCCCGCACCUGGGGCUGCAGGCUCUCACCUUGUAUCUUGGGAAUUGUGGUGUGGCUUCAGAAGAUGGGGACUAAUUCUAAUGCAAAUUAGCGCUCAGGAACUGUACUCUGCUUUCUAAUGAAAAUGCUUCAACCGGCAGUAUCUAGGUAGGCUAGGACAUCUCACACCUGCGUCUCCUUCAGAGCUGCAGCACCCCGUAUGAUAUGAUGGCAAGAACACUUGAGUGUUUCUUCCAGGGCCUAGGAGAACUUUGUUUCCUAGAGCAGUGUGUCACUUGUGUGGAGUGGGGAGCUGGUACCUAGUGACUGCGCAGAUGUGAUUGUCCUUAACACCACAGGCAUGACAUUUGAACAAGAGAAAUGCACAGUCUUAGAAGUAGCAGUUACUGGCUUUAUGUAAUAAAGGAAGCAUUUUUAACUUCUCUGGUGUCAUCAUUCACAUGUGAGUUGGGGAUGGAGGGGUUUUACCUUCCACAAGGGGAUUCUGGGGGUUUCGCAUGGGUGACUCAGCUUCUACCUUCUCUGAUUGAAAGAGGAAGCUGGUAUAAAAGUUGGGAACCUUUUUCUUAGUAGUGUUUAAUGCAAGGCUAGGCUUUGGGAGGCAAAAAAGGUCAUGCUUUCAUCAAAAUAUCUUUCAAGACUUGCUAAGCGCAAGGACCCAAGUUCAAUCCCCGGUACAAAAAAAAAAAAAAGACUGGCUGGAAAAGUGCUGGCUGCUUGCCAUUCUCCCAUCUGGAACUGAACACUGCUCUGUGAUGUGUGUAAACAGGCCCCAGGGAAGCAUCUGGCCAGGCUGCCCUGCUCCCCUGCCCGCCGCCUCAGGCCGUGUCCCUCAGGAGGCGCUGUGGGCUGAGUGCAGGCGCUUGGCUGGGGGGCUUCUGUGCAGCAUUCAGGGAGGUAACACAAAGUCAGCAUCUCCCACACCCCUUUUCCUGCAAAAGUAGUGGGUGCCGGAGGUUACUUUCAGUUCUCUGCGUGGAUACUGGCAGGGGCUGGGGGCCCAGACACUGUUGCCAACCUCCUGGUGACCUGAGCAGCAUGAAGUUGUGGACCAAAAAGGUCCAGGUCCACCCCACUUCCAGGGCACUUCAACACCCUUACAGGCUGGCGCAUUAUGGAAACGAGCCUGUGGACAGGUUGUGGCUCUGCACGCCUGGAGGUGGGCGUGGACCAGGUACUGAGCUCAGGUCUCCUGCCUUGUGGGUUGGGGGCGGCCUAGGUGGGAGCCAGGCUCAGCCUGACCGGCAGAGUGGCCUUGAAGGACUGUUAAAGGAACUUGGCCAGUCAGGUCACUUAGUUUACAAGUGGCGGAACUGGACAAAGACAGGGUUCUGAGCAGUUCUCGCCACCUCUAGAUGGUUCAGGUUUGAGUCUAACAUCUGGAAUUUGGAGGUCAGCGCUCAGUACCAUGUGCGCCACUUCAGGGAUAGAACUGCUAGCCUGAGCAACAACAAGGAACUGGGGGAGUCAUCAGGCUACAGCCCUGUCCAACCCAAUAUUGCCCACAGCCUUACUGGCGUCCCUGUCCUCUCCCAGGCUGUGAGGGCCACUUGCCAAGCCAGUGUCCUGUCCUGUGCCUUUCAGUGAGUACCACAUGGACAUGAACAGAGGAUGCUCACCCUGGAGCCUCCCAGCACCCUCCGGCUCAGGAAACCACUGUGUGACUGUCAGCAGUGAGCUGGGCCUCAUCCCAAGUGAUCACAAUAGCCAGGGCUCUAGGGCGCUCCCUCCGGGUUUUGCAGGGAGAGCUCAGAGUGGCCUGGCUGGCUAGCCCAACC
rnacentral:lncRNA from 1 species